rnacentral:tRNA from 1 species
AAGAUACUAGUAAAACUAGUGAAUUGCGUUGCCUUGUCGAGGCGGAGUCGUGGGUUAAACCCCCACGUAUCUUA